rnacentral:rRNA from 1 species
AUUGAACGCUGGCGGCAUGCUUUACACAUGCAAGUCGAACGGUAACAGGGAGCUUGCUCCGCUGACGAGUGGCGAACGGGUGAGUAAUGCAUCGGAACGUGCCGUGUAAUGGGGGAUAACGUAGCGAAAGUUACGCUAAUACCGCAUACGCCCUGAGGGGGAAAGUGGGGGACCGUAAGGCCUCACGUUAUACGAGCGGCCGAUGUCGGAUUAGCUAGUUGGUGGGGUAAAGCCUACCAAGGCGACGAUCCGUAGCGGGUCUGAGAGGAUGAUCCGCCACACUGGAACUGAGACACGGUCCAGACUCCUACGGGAGGCAGCAGUGGGGAAUUUUGGACAAUGGGCGCAAGCCUGAUCCAGCCAUGCCGCGUGAGUAAAGAA